AUUAAAAUAUACUAGCUAGCUCCUGGAGAACCCUCUCAACAGGCUUCCUACCUGCGUCCUGACUUGAGCAAGAUCAAGGAUGCUGGGCUAGCUCUCAGGAAAAGCAGGUUCAGCUGUGGUUGGGACCUGCUCAUCCUGCCCCUAACCUCCAUAUUUCCAGAGGGUAGGAGAGGAGAAAGGGAACAACUAUUUCAUGCUGGGACCCCAUGAGAUGGCCUUUCCUCCCCGUCCUCCCUCUAGCACUGGGCAUCCUUCAUCCCUACGCAGGCCGAUGACCAGGAUCCUUGAGAUUCCAAUAGGCAUUGCAACUAGGAACACCUGGCUGAAACCCGUCCUAGAGUUAGAGUUUAUUUUUUCUUUACCUUCUCUUUCCCUUUUUCCUUUUCUUUCUUCCUUUCUUGUUUUUAAGAAGCUGUUUGGCCUCGACCCAGGGGUAACUGGGGUGGGAAAAGAACCAUGCAACCACCAGCUAUCAGCCCCCCAGGAGAUGUCCAGGCUCUGUAGAGCCCGGACUUCCUUCCUUGCCUCGGCCUCGGCCUCCUCCUCAUCCUUCUGGAUCGUUUUUCCCUCCUCCCACUGUAUUUUCUUCGGUUUAAUUAAAGUCCAGCGACUCCACUAGCCUCUCCUUGGCGUUUCUCUUGGAAAGAGGAAACCAGUCGGCCCAUCCAUCGACCACAGGCCGAUCGGCCCCAGCACAACCCCAGCCUGCAGCCAGAGGGGCCUCCCCUCGCCCGCCUCCUUCACCCCUAACAGCCUUCUCCCACACCCCUCAGUCUUCCCGCAGGUGUGCAGCUACUUGGCUUGCGGGUCUGAACCACCAGGGCUGGGCAGGAGGACUGUGCUCAUCUUUCCCAGACCCUCAAAUUUACUCCACAAAGUUUAGAGGGUGAUUAGACCCUGGCCCAUUCAGCC